GUACGCAUAGCUCAGCUGGAUAGAGCGUCUGACUACGGAUCAGAAGGCCGGGGGUUCAAAUCCUCUUGCGUACA
rnacentral:tRNA from 1 species